ensembl:miRNA
GGGGCUGGGAUUGUGGCUCAGAAGGAGAGCACUCACCUUGCAUGCAUGAGGUGCUGUUUUUGAUCCACAGCCCC